CUCCUUUUGGCCCCCUUAUUUUUUCACCCUUGUUUUACCUACCAUGAGACAAACCAUCUUCUCCUAAUGGGAUGGUUGCGCUCUCUCUUCUCUCCGUUGAAGAAGCUCUGGCUUCGGUUCAACUCAGCUAACAAGAAGAGCAGAGGGAUUUACAUCCUUUACGAAGAUGUCAAGUCCUGUCCUUAUGAAGAUGUGCAUGUGCUUUGGUCGAUAUUGGUGGAAUCGCAUGCACCUGCCUUGCCACCGAUCAAAUAAAGCUGCUUAGAGCUGCACACAAACACAAACAUAACAGAGGCUACAACAGAUUUUCAGAAUUCAGCAUGUACAUAGGUUAUUUAUGUCAGGUUUUGUAAUUAUAAAAUGUUUGUAUGGGUUUUUUUUUUUGGUUUUUCUUUUCUUUUCUACCCUGUUUUUGCAUAACCUUUUUAGCAGGCAGAGUGCCUCGCUUAAAAUUGUGCUAUAAAUUACAGAAGUGACUUGCUACAA